UUAAAAAGUUGUCUAAGGUCAAAAUAUUUUGGCGGUAAAAUUUUCAAAGGACUUUAGCCGACAAAAAUAUAUGAAAAGUCGUCGGCUAAAGUCAAUAAAAAUUUGGCGGCAAACCAAAUUUGGGGGAAAAUUUUCAAAAGACUUAAACCGACGAAAAUAUAUGAUUUUGUCCGCUAUUGUCAAAAAAAUUUUGGUGGUCAACCAAAAUUUUCAAAAUUUUUAAAAGAGUUUAGCUGACGAAAAUAAAAAAUUUCGUCAGGUAAAGUUCUUUAUAUAGGAGUUUUACCGGAGGUGGAUGGUAAGAAGUCAGAAAAUUAGAAAAAGUUCAGGAUUUUCUUCUCAGCCUAGCUCCGCCGUCAAGCCCCCGGAGACCGCCACACUUGUCCCAAAAGCUUCGCUGUCGUCUCUACUUCAUUGCUGGACAGGUGGUGCAUCGAGUGGCGCCGUUGUGAGGGAUAAAUCGAGCUCUAAAACUCCGCCGGUUCGGAUUCGGUGUCGAUCGAAUUUCUCCUUCCUCAGGUCACCAUUUGGUGAGUUCUAUAUAUGGAUAAGUUGAGUUUGAUUAGUACUACAUUCCCCUCGAAUUUGGUAGCUCGAUUCGGUGUGUGUGAGGAGAAUCGAAUAUUUGAAGUUUUAGGGUUUAAAAUUGGGGAUUUUUAUAUUUUGAUUCAGUUGACCUGUUUAGGCUUAGAAUUAGGCUUCGACUUGUUCUAGAUUGUUGUUCGAAAUGUUGAGAGGAAGAUUCUGUCAAAUUUUGGUAGUGAUUGGAGGUGGCCGAAAGUUUCUGCAGUUUUUUUUCUUUCAAAAACCAGCAACUUUAGCCGACGAUAUUUAAAUACUUUAGCCGAAGAUAUUCGUCGGUUAUAGUAUUUUUAUUUAUUUUUUAUAAGGUUUAGCCGACAAAUUAUGGCAUGUUUCGUCAGCUAAACACUUCUAAAGCCGACGAAAUAGACUAUAUUUCAUCGGUUAUAGUUAUUUUUUUAAUUUUUAUUACAUACUUUAGCUGACGAAUAUCGUCGGCUAAAGUCUCAGACUAUAUAUGGUCGACGAUGUCUUCUGUCGUUGGUUAAAUACUGGGACAAUAGCCGACGACGUUUUCUAGUUUCGUCGGCUAAAGUCAUCGCCGACGCCUCUUUCCCGACAAAACUAUAACCGACGAAGGCUCGUCGGGUAAGAUCUUAGCCGACGAAUUAAGCUAAAGUGCUUGUCCUGGUAGAGAGAGAGAGAGAGAGAGAGAGAGAGAGAGAGAGAGAGAGAGAGAGAGAGAGAGAGAGAGAGAGAGAGAGAGAGAGAGAGAGAGAGAGAGAGAGAGAGAGAGUUAGAG
rnacentral:lncRNA from 1 species